AUAGACAACUCCGGUUCUCCAAUCUCUUGGCUGUUCUUGCUCUCACGAAAUAUACGGGUCAUUCUUCUCCUCCCUCCCUCCCUCCUCCGUGUGAUGUUCUCCGAUCUUUAAUCCUUUCGAUCCUUUCUUUUCUGUCUGUUCGCUCUUCUUCUCCAUGGUUUCUUUUCCUUCGAUCAAAACCCUCAAAAACGCAGCGCUCGAAGGAUUCUUGAAUCAAGGUGGGGGAGGCGGCGGCAGAGGCUUGUUGGUGUACGACUGUGGACCACCAAGGUACCAAAGUAUCUUGAAGGUGUAGGGCUAAAGGUGGUCAAGUUUAUAUCUUUCGCCCAGCCAGUAUGAUUGGCUGAUAAGGUGAUUAUUUCUACUAUGUUUCUGACCCACUACCUGUUUGGUGUAAUUCAAGGCAGGUGAUCGCACCACUCUGGUGUGGAUACAACCCAUAAGGUUAGAAAGCAAAAAAUCCUGCAAGGCUUGAGGGCACGUCUCACCUAGUCGUCAGAUCCAGUCUCCGAUAUGCUCUGCAACUCUGUUUCGUCACUAGGAGCCGAAGAGAUGGGUACCAAACCUGGUGAAAGGUUUGUUUUCAAGAUCAAACAGAUCCGUGCCACAAUGGUAAGAUGAGGUUUAUGAAAGAUCUCUUUCAACAGACACGUUAACAGGCCUCGUGACAAAGGUAUAUAUUUGUAAAUUAACCUCAUCAAAGAUCUCUUUCAACAGACAUGUUAGUCGGCCUCUGGACAAAAGGUAUAUAUUGUAAGGUAUCUUAUUUAGUCCUUACCUGGUGCUGCAUUCUAAAACUCAUCUCUAAGCUAAUUCCUGCAAGAAUGUAUCAGAUCCAACUCUUCAUGCCCGAGUUGCUUAUAAUCAUUUCAUCGGUAACAAUUGAGGCAAAAUCUAUGUUGACCUCUUUCUGUUUUGGGUAUUAUCCUGAUCUAUUAAGAAUCAAAUAGCUGUUUUUUUUUUUUUGACUUAUUUGCUUUUUUGACAUUUGUAAGCUAAUUUUCUUAGAUGAAUAUGUAUGGACUUGUUUGACUUGUUUGCUUUGUGGGCGCCUAUUAUAUCUGACUUGUUCACCUUACUGGCAUCUGCAAGCAUUGGAUGGCUUUUUUUUUUUUGCACUUGUUUGUUUUAUUGGCAUCUCUUUUUUUAUUUUUUAUUUUUUAUUUUUUUUCCUUUUUUGGCAUAUGCAAGCUAAUCUCCUGCUUGUUUGCUUCAGUUUUUAGUUUUACUUGUGCUGCUUUUUAUGCAUCAUGUAUGAGGUAUUUUUUUUUGUAGAGUAUAUCAGAAUCAUUGCCAUAGAUCUGGGUUCUUUAUAAUCAUUUCAUCUGCAACAACCGUGGCAAAAUCAUGUCCUUCGUUUUAUUAUUUCUUUUUUUUUUUUAAAACUUGUUUAGUUGUCAUCAUCGGUCUGUUAUAUUGUUCUGUUUUAAGCACUAAGGCAGUUUGCUAGAGGCUUUUGGAACUUAAGGGCUUCUUUCCAUGGACUGGCCUGCAAGCAUGAUCUGAAAUACGUUUUGUCACAAUUAUUCAAGAUUUUUUUUUUGUUUUGUUUUUCUUAGUUUUUCUAUUAUAAAAAGCACCGGUUGCUUAGUUAUCAUGGCAGAUUGUGGUAGCACUUUAAAUUACUGACCUUGCUAAUCCUGAUGGUUCAAAAUGGUUAUAAAUGGUUUCUGGGACUCUAAGAAUUGACCCAACCACAUUUAAUUAUCAGCAUAUUCAGAUGAUAGUCUUUUAGAAACAAUCUGAUCAAAGAUAAAGAUCCAGAAUCUGGGAAAAAAUGCAAAACAUUUUUAGAGUUCAAGUGAAUGGGGAUACCUAGUCAAGAAGUUAGGCCACCAAAAGGCUUCUUCUAUUUCAUUAAUGCUUAACACAUACAUAUAGUCACCUCUACUUUUCUUUGUACUGGUGGGAUAGUUUCUAAUAAGAUGUAACCCAGUACCAUGACAUGUUUUCUUGGAUUAAUGGGUGUUAAGAUGUUUUUUGAAACUUGUUGAGCAGAUGUACAACGUGAUGUUUGUGUGUAUGCGUAUAUUUAUUUUAGUAGACUGCCUUUAAAAUAUGCCAUCCACGGUACGACCAUUGUUCAAACAUGAUGACUGUGCAUUGAAACCAUUACAGAGAGUUGUAAUGCCAAAUUUAAACAAAAAGUUUUGUCCUAUAACACUGAUUAUGAGCUGCUAUAACAUUUAAAACAGAUUGAUAUGCCAAUGCAACUAUACAAAUAGUAAUUUGUAUUGGAAUGAUGUAACUUGUAUCAAGUAAUUUUAUCAUAGAUAUGCUUUAGUGCUUAUUGUAAAUCAGCAUCUGCAAAACCAGGUAUUAUUACUGUCAUUAUAUUGUUCUAAAUUGUGAUAGCCAUAACAUGUUAGGGCCAUUCUUAUAUGGUGUUGUCUAUUAACGCACAAUAGAGUUGGUCAAAAACUAUUAUAAUAGCCUCCACAACCUUUCUUUUAGUUAAAACCAUAGUAUUAUCUUUUGAGACAAAAGUAAAUUGUCAGAUCUGUCAUCUGCAUCUGCUUGUAGCAUAGAUACAUGGAAAUUCCUUUUUUUGGGGGUAUAUAGGGAGGUUCAGGACCUCAAAUCUAAAAAAAGAAUGAUUGUAAAAAUACAUGAAAAUAAAAGACAGUAAAUGAAAAGAUAUAGAAUGUAGAGUAGUAAAGUCUUCAUCCCAUCCAUUCGCAGGCCGAUCGACAGGUCGAUUAGCCUCCCAAAUGGCAAGUAAGUGUUUGGAAGAGCAAAAUUCUUGCUUUGGGCUUGAAGAUUAGCCAUAUGGGACCAACAUAAUUUAGUAGUAUUAGCAAGCUAUUGUGUACUUACACAUUUACAUAGUAGAUCUUGGAGUUUUUGGGAAAAUAGAUCUAGAUGAAGAUGGAUUAAUAAUGUGAGUUCACUAUAGCGUAUAUGUAAAUCACAACCACCUAACUGUGCCCCAUGUGGUCUGCUUUAGGAAUUCUUCUUAAUCAUGAUUACUACAAGAGUGCACUUCUUGCUGCAAUCUCUUCACUCUCUCCACUUUGCAGACUACAGGGAUUAUGAAUUGCUCUCUGAAAAAGAGUAUUUAAUUUCUGUCAAUUGAUUUGAUUGUAGGUGCAACAAUGUACAUGCAUGGUUGCUGGUCCAGGUCCAGGUUGCUACAUGGUUAUGCUAGGAAAAAGGAAAAGAAGAAUUAUUAUGCUCUAUUAUUCGGACUUAAGUAUUCUAAGAUGGUACAAGUGUCAAAUUAGUCUUUUCCCUUCUGAGAAAUUAAGGUUUUGGGACAUAAGGCUACAACUUUUAUCCUAUUCCCACUUUAUCUGCCGAUAAGUAAGCUAACUAGAUCAAAUACUAAUCUGGAAGCUUGUUUCAUUUACAUCUAAAAGGAAGUGUGAUGGUAACAUGUGGCAAUCAUGACAAAAAUGACUACAGACUAGGAAUUAAUAUGUCACAGUUAUCAGGAAGACAUUUUCUUGUAUAUUAUUUUGUUUUUGGGGAAACACAUAUGGGAAACGGAUUGAUAUGCUUUGCACAAAAUGGUGACACAAGCAAGGAAAUGAAAUGAAAAAAUAGGGAAAUUUGCAUAAUACUCAUUCAACUGGUUCAAGAUUUGAGGGAGGAACCACUAAGAAAUCAUGCUGGACCAGGUCCUCUGCAGUUGCCGUAUGGUCUCUGAUGUGCUUCCAUGAGUUUUCUGCAUGUUCUAUGUGGCCGUUUCCUAUUUCCUGCAUUUGGACCUUUGUCUAGUGCUCUCUUCUUCUUGUGUAUCGUUCUGGAUCUGUUAUGUAUAGAUUGUGCUUGAUACUGCUACUCCUGAAAUAAUUGAUGUAUGCAGGCAACUUAUGUAUGAUCUACCAUAACAUUAAUCUGCAUAUAUCAUGUAGCCAGUCUGUAACGCACAGCUUGAUAUUGUUCUACAUGUUGCACUGUUGGAUGAUCUUCAAAACAUGGAAUCUUGGCAUUGGAUUGAUGUAAGAUUGCUGUAGACAUUGAUGAUUGCCUUAGCAUUUGCAUUUUUGGGUGGUUGCUCAACUUCUUACAUUGCUUUUUAUUAUCAGAAAGAGGAAAAUAAGACAGCCUGUGGAAGAUCCUGCUCCUAGUGAGAUGCCUGCCAUGCUUUCAGUUGAUGUUAUGGAGAAUUUUAAGAGCUUUAACACCAUAUACAAAGUCAGGAUCUUUCCAAAAAAUUUCUGUCUGACCUGUUAGAAGAAAUUUUGAUUAUUGCCGAACCACAUGCUAAAGUUCCAAGUACAAGCUAAUUAUUUUUUAAUUGUACAAGGGUAAAAGAUACACCAGGGAAAUUCAUUACUCCGAAGAGCCUGUCUGAUUAUUUAGAAGCUGCUGUUGUUACUGUGCUGGCAAUUCACGAGAAGUUACAUUGCAUCUCAUAGAAAGCCAUAUUCAUUAAUCUAUAAAAAGUUGUUUUGUUGCCACAUUAGCAUACCUGACCCCCCUUACAUUGUUUCAUAAGUUGCAAGAAUUUUCUACUUAGAUGCUGCACCAUCUUUGCAGCUUGCAUCCUGAUUCUUUCGCACUUCUGGACUCAAACUCUCCUGUUUAUUUUCGAUAUCCACAUGUUUCUGUUAUAACUUAUUUAGGCUAUCACAUUUAUUGAAAUCGAUGGUGUUUUUUGUUUUUCUUUUUCCGCCAUUUUAGAACCUAGAUAUAGUUUUCGUUCCAGAUGACUUCUAUAUUUUUCAAGCUUGAUGGUUUUUUAAGCGCUUCCCCUUUUAAAUAUGUCAAGAAUUGUUACUUUGACUAAGUGGUAUAAAACUAAAGAACCUUCAUAUUAUAUACUGGUGAUGGUCAUCAUACCUGCAAGAAUAGACUAUAGAAGUAUUGGGAGAAAUAGGCCUUAAGAAAAUCAUAACAAGCAGGUGCCAUGCCACUUGUCAUGCAAUAAUGACAUUUAGCCAAGUGAAAGCCAUAUGGACUGCAUUGGGGUAGCCAUUAGCACAAUGAAGACUCUCAUCGUGGACACUAGGAAUAGAGUAAAACAUAAGGAUUUAUGAGAAAAAUGAAAAUAAACAUGACAGGGUUACUUAGCUAGCAAGAGAAGAGGAGGGCAUAGGCAUGGGAAAUGAAUGAGAGGUGAGAGAAGAAUGGGAAAGGGAGAAGGAUUUGAUGCAAGAUAAUAGAUCAAAAUCAACUAAAAGGCUUGUCAUGAUCCAUGAGAAAGAUCUUGGAUAAUUGUGAAAUUCUUCGGCACUUAAUAUUUCCCGAGAGUUGUGAAGAUGUUGAUUGGUCCUCCUAUGUAGCACUAAUUUUUUAUUUCCGUCCUAAUGGAGGAGCAAAGCGAUGAAGAGGCAGAAGGUGAAGAGGAGGAGAAAGUGAUGACCCCACUAAACGAGUAGAGGAAAGGUCCCUGAGCCUCUCUGAACUGAUGUGAUCAAGCCUCCAGUGCCAUAGCCUAUUAGCUGUCUGUAUCUCAAAUGAAGAAGGUGCUAGGACGAAUGCAGCCCUCAUCACAUCAGGAGUGGGGACGGAGCAAAAGUAGCCGCCCUACGGGCUUUCCCAAUCUGCUUCCCUAUCACUAGAUCCUGAACAAACGCCCCUAAAAAAAACACAAUGCAUUUUUUUUUUAUAAGUUUACCAACAGAUAGUUGGUUCAUCGAAAGUUGAGGAACAAAGAAAACAACAUGAAAAUGAAAAAAAAAAAUUUCGCCUUCCUCUUCCAGUUUAGCUAGACUCCUUGUUGUAGCAUAAAUUUCUUAUAAGCUUGUUGAGAAGUCCAAAGAAAGUCUUUCUACUGUACUAGAACUUGAGUGAAUGUGAUCUCUACCACUAGACAUACAUUUAUACAUGAAGCAAAUAGUGUAAUGCUUAUUGCAUUCACUUGGAGGAAGAAUAACAAAGCUUUCACAUCUAGAAGUGACCUGCAAUUGGAGGAUCAGAAUGAAAUCAUUUGUAAGGUGAUGACCUAUAAAAUACAAAGAAAGUUUUUUUAAUCGAUAAUUUAAAUCUUAUGGGACAGGGCUGUCUUGAUUUUCCCAUUAAAUGGGAUGCAUUGCCAUCCUGCUGCCAUCCCGACAUUUGGGACAGAAGAUGUCUCAAGACGUCCCUAUCAGAACAUUGGGACGCUAAUAGGAUGACCCUAUCCUGACUCAUAGGAUGGUAUCUCAUCCUAGUAUUCCAUGAGAUGUCCUGCUGGGACCUAAAUAUUUGCUUCUAAUUGGACAAAUAAAGGUGAAAAGAGCUUCAACCCAAUAUGUAGGCAUAAGGAUGGCCUUAUGGAAGUUUUAAACAGCAUAUGUGCCACAACAGAGUAGUAGAUCUUGUGUUAUAAUGUAAAGAAAGCCAAUUAAAUUUGUGUUAUUUCUUUUUCAUGUGCUUUCUAUUAGUAUCCAUCAACUCUUGGUUUGAUAGAAUCUGCAAUUUGUACCACUGCUUGUGAGCUUAAUUGAUAGACCAUGCUAAUCCUCUCAUUGAAAUGUGGCAUAACUUCUGAGAGCCUCAUGUAUUCUUUGAUGAAGCAGCUGCAACAAUAUCAGUCUUACUGUGUUCUGCACCCUGUUCCUUUCUUCCUUCAGAAAUUUAUGCAAGCUUAUGGGAUGCUUUAUAAAGAUACUUCUAGUACUUUCAAAACUCUGAUGUACUAGCCUUUGGCUUACAGUUAAAUGAGGUUUUUGUACACCAAUCCGUUCUGACUGCUGAUUAGUUUCUAAACUAGCAACCAUUUCAUGUUUUACAUGGUUCUGUAUGAUAUGGAAUUUCUUGCAGAAUUUGCUGUCGUCUAUUGCCUAUAUCAAUUUUAAAGUGAAUGCUGUUUUUGGUAGCAGGGUCUGUGGUUCGAAUAAAACUUGAUGGUUUAAAUAUCUUUUGCAUUAAUAUUCUCAUUUAUCUGUCUUUCCAGGAGAUGUGGAUGAGGUUUCGAUUCAAUUAGAUGAAUCUUUAGGUGUUAGAUAUGCUGCUGCUCGGUAAAAGAACUUGAUGCUCUCAUAAGUUCAGUAAUUUGGAGUUUCUUCCUAUUAGAAUUUUCAACCUCCCUUGUUAUUAUUCUCAGAUCGAUCCAGUUUUGAGUGAAAUAGUUGUGCAAAUAUUUUGAGCAUGUGCGAUGCAUAUGAUUAUUUAUGGCUGCGAUCUUAGAGAUUUUUUCUAUUAGUUAUGUAACCUGAUAAAUAUAUUGUCACUUUUGGCUGGUGUAUAACUCGCAUUUCCCUCUCUCAGAGCAACAACUGCCAUAUGCAGGCGCAACGGUUGGUGGGAUCAUAAGUUGGCACCUAAGAAUCACCAAGCUUCUUUUGGCCAAAGAUUCCUCUUUAAAUCUGCUCAUUGCAAAUGUUGAGUACCGAUCUUCUAGAAUUGUCAGUUUUUAUCUGUCUUUUGUUUCUAUUUUUUCAAAAUCUGGAUAUUUGUGCAUUAACUCUCAAUCCAGAAAUUAUAUAUUACUAACAGUCUAUACAUAUUUCUCCAUAUAUAAGCAUAUGCAUAAUGCAUUUUGGCUUAUAUGGCUCUGGUACCCAACUCUUUGGCAUGCCUUGGUUUGCCUUGAAAUACCUGUCAACACAUCAUGACAUGGGUGUGGGAUAUGGGUAUGGGUAGGGGUCUUACACAUCAUUUUUUUAAAUAAUAUGGCAAGUAACAUGCAAAUAUCCAAACUUGCUUCCAUUUUUCAAAUUUUUUAAAUAUUUUUUUUAUUUAUUGUUAAUUUAAAAUAAAGUAUUUUUAAUCUAAAAAAUUAUAUGAUUUCUUUGUCAAUAUGUAUCAUUAUAUCUACAACAUGAAAUCAUGCCAAAAUAUAAAAUUUGGCAUGAUUUCACUUGAUGCCAAUUUUCUGCCUAUUGGGUUUGGAUUAUGGGCUUAAAACUAGCAAAACUCUCCUCCCCUGAUUUUUCCACACAAAGUCCACCCUUCCUUUCAUGGGUUUUGAAGAAAAGAGAGGCGAAAUGCAUCGCAUGGCUUUUUUCUCUUUAUGGUCAUCCGAUGCCCCCAUCCGAGUUGUACCAAGUGACGUCGGGUGGUUUCACUGGGUGUGGAGCAGGACAGGCUAGUUCGUACCGAGUGUCAAAACGAUAUGCCAAACCAACUCGAUGUUGCACCAAUUUGGUUUGGUAUGAACCAACCUGAACCACUACAAACCGAGUGAUUUUGGGACAGUUUGGCGGACUCUAGAGUAAACAAUGGGGUUGACAUGGGAAAAGAAAAGGCUUAGGGUUCUUGUUAGCGAUUAGCAUGUGCACCGGACGUAGUGCAUUUUUAACUUGGGAAAAAAUAGUCUAGCCUUUGACUGAAUUGGCAUAUAAAUUCAUCCCCUAUUAACUAAGUAAGUAUUUUUGGUUUUUGGUCCCUGGUGUAGUGUUUUUCAAAAGAAUGUAUGACAUAAUAACCGAAAAGUUUAAUUUGUGUACAAAAAGAAGGCUUGGUGGUCAUGUGCAAAGACUCAAUGUUAAAUGCUAACCAUAUGAAGGUAAAUUGUGAAAAGACAACAAAUGCAAGAUGUCCAGACGCAUGCAUCCAGCUUUUGGAUCCUUCUACUAACCAAGUCAUCAUAUCGCAAAAUUUGGAGAUUAGGCAAGUCAGCUCCUAGACCCACAUCCGUACUCCAUACCCACACCCAAACCCAUGGAACAUAGUUUAGUGUACUGCUGCGGUUGACCAUCUCACAAUAUGGUGUGUGUUCGCUUCCAUAGAGGAAUUCUUUUUUUUUUGGUCUCUCAGUUUAUGUUUUGUCGUCAUUUUUGAUAAAGCUUACUGUGCUAUGAAUGUAGGUUUUUGAUCAGAGGGAAUAGAACAACUUUAUUGUUAGGUUUGUGGUCUUUGUUCCUGUUCAGUUUGACUCAUUGCUGCGUGUUUUUCAGUGUUUUUGUGGAAGAGAUGUUCAUCAGAUAUUCUUUUCAAUACAUAUUCUGCUACUUGUAAGAAUGUACCUGUGCUGCAGAAACAAAUGGCAUUCAGCUACCGGCGUAAUUUUCCUAAUCAAAAGUUUUGAGAAGCAGUGGAGAUUCAUGAAGAUAUAUGCUGAAAUAGCAUAACCCUCGCAGAAUUACUGGACUGUUUCACAUGCAUUGUGGUAAUCUUGUCCUGACCUUUAAUUUUCAGCCUUUAUGUUUUAUCUUUUUUCUUUUUAAAGUUAUAUACUCUUGGCCUUUCCUAUAGCCACAUGUAUUGGGAACGUGGAGUCUUUUUUAAUAUCAAAAAACUAGAACAUAUAGGCGACACAUAUCUUAAUCUUA